rnacentral:rRNA from 1 species
AGAACGAACGCUGGCGGCAUGCCUAACACAUGCAAGUCGAACGAGACCUUCGGGUCUAGUGGCGCACGGGUGCGUAACGCGUGGGAAUCUGCCCUUGGGUUCGGGAUAACAGUUGGAAACGACUGCUAAUACCGGAUGAUGUCUUCGGACCAAAGAUUUAUCGCCCAAGGAUGAGCCCGCGUAGGAUUAGCUAGUUGGUGAGGUAAGAGCUCACCAAGGCGACGAUCCUUAGCUGGUCUGAGAGGAUGAUCAGCCACACUGGGACUGAGACACGGCCCAGACUCCUACGGGAGGCAGCAGUGGGGAAUAUUGGACAAUGGGCGAAAGCCUGAUCCAGCAAUGCCGCGUGAGUGAUGAAGGCCUUAGGGUUGUAAAGCUCUUUACCCGGGAUGAUAAUGACAGUACCGGAGAAUAAGCCCCGACUAACUCCGCGCCAGCAGCCGC